rnacentral:rRNA from 1 species
GACGAACGCUGGCGGUGUGCUUAACACAUGCAAGUCGAACGGUAAGGCCCUUUCGGGGGUACACGAGUGGCGAACGGGUGAGUAACACGUGAGUAACCUGCCCUCAUCUCUGGGAUAACAGUCGGAAACGGUUGCUAAUACUGGAUAUGAGCUUGCAAGGCAUCUUGUGGGUUGGAAAGAUUUUUUUGGUUGGGGAUGGACUCGCGGCCUAUCAGCUUGUUGGUGAGGUAGUGGCUCACCAAGGCUUCGACGGGUAGCCGGCCUGAGAGGGCGACCGGCCACAUUAGGACUGAGAUACGGCCCAAACUCCUACGGGAGGCAGCAGGGGGGAAUAUUGCACAAUGGACGGAAGUCUGAUGCAGCAACGCCGCGUGCGGGAUGACGGCCUUCGGGUUGUAAACCGCUUUCAAUUGUGACGAAGCUUUUUGUGACGGUAGCAGUAGAAGAAGCACCGGCUAACUACGUG